rnacentral:rRNA from 1 species
GACGAACGCUGGCGGCGUGCCUAACACAUGCAAGUCGAACGAAAAGACCCGGCUUUUGUGCGGUGCUCGAUUGCCGAAGGGGGGAGUAACACGUGAGUAACCUGUCCCUGACUUUGGGAUAUCUUCACGAAACAGGGGCUCUUAUAGCAUAGGAUCUCUUGCACCAUGGUGGGCGUUGGUAAGAUUCGGCGGUUGGGGAUGGAAUAGCUGCUUAUCAGCCUGUUGGGGUGGUAGUGGCUUACCAAGGUUUUGAGGGGUAGCCGGCCUGAGAGGGUGAGCGGCCGCACUGGGCCUGAGAUAAGGCACAGACUCGUACGGGAGGCAGCAGUGGGGAAUAUUGCAGAAUGGGCGGAGGCCUGGUGCAGCAACGCCGCGUGCGGGAUGACGGCCUUCGGGUUGUAAACCAAAUUCGCCUGUGACGAAGCGUGAGUGACGGUAAUGGGUAAAGAAGCACCGGCUAACUACGUG